GCAAGUCGAGCGGAAACGAUCCUAGCUUGCUAGGAGGCGUCGAGCGGCGGACGGGUGAGUAAUGCAUAGGAAUCUGCCCGGUAGUGGGGGAUAACGUGGGGAAACUCACGCUAAUACCGCAUACGCCCUACGGGGGAAAGCAGGGGAUCUUCGGACCUUGCGCUAUCGGAUGAGCCUAUGUCGGAUUAGCUUGUUGGUGAGGUAAUGGCUCACCAAGGCGACGAUCCGUAGCUGGUCUGAGAGGAUGAUCAGCCACACUGGGACUGAGACACGGCCCAGACUCCUACGGGAGGCAGCAGUGGGGAAUAUUGGACAAUGGGGGAAACCCUGAUCCAGCCAUGCCGCGUGUGUGAAGAAGGCUUUCGGGUUGUAAAGCACUUUCAGCGAGGAAGAAGGCCUGGCGGUUAAUACCUGCCAGGAAGGACAUCACUCGCAGAAGAAGCACCGGCUAACUCCGUGCCAGCAGCCGCGGUAAUACGGAGGGUGCAAGCGUUAAUCGGAAUUACUGGGCGUAAAGCGCGCGUAGGUGGCUUGAUAAGCCGGUUGUGAAAGCCCCGGGCUCAACCUGGGAACUGCAUCCGGAACUGUCAGGCUAGAGUGCAGGAGAGGAAGGUAGAAUUCCCGGUGUAGCGGUGAAAUGCGUAGAGAUCGGGAGGAAUACCAGUGGCGAAGGCGGCCUUCUGGACUGACACUGACACUGAGGUGCGAAAGCGUGGGUAGCAAACAGGAUUAGAUACCCUGGUAGUCCACGCCGUAAACGAUGUCGACUAGCCGUUGGGAGCCUCGAGUUCUUAGUGGCGCAGUUAACGCAAUAAGUCGACCGCCUGGGGAGUACGGCCGCAAGGUUAAAACUCAAAUGAAUUGACGGGGGCCCGCACAAGCGGUGGAGCAUGUGGUUUAAUUCGAUGCAACGCGAAGAACCUUACCUACUCUUGACAUCGUGCGAACUUUCCAGAGAUGGAUUGGUGCCUUCGGGAGCGCACAGACAGGUGCUGCAUGGCUGUCGUCAGCUCGUGUUGUGAAAUGUUGGGUUAAGUCCCGUAACGAGCGCAACCCCUAUCCUUAUUUGCC
rnacentral:rRNA from 1 species